GCUGCUGUCGUCUAAAUAGGAGUAGGACACAGGGUUUUCAUCCCUGUAGAUGCGAGUUCGAGUCUCGUUGGCAGUACAA
rnacentral:tRNA from 1 species